rnacentral:rRNA from 1 species
AUUUUGAUAAAAAAAGAAAAAUAAAUUAACUAUUAUAAAAUGGCGGUCUACAUUAACUAAAGAAACUCGCCUUAUAAUCGUAAAUACUCGAUACACUCAAACUAUAUUCAUAAGCCUAUAUACCGCCGUAACAGAACUAAAACAAACACAAUUCAAAACUUUAACAAAACAAAAAUCAGGUCAAGGUGUAGUUUAUAAUAAAGAAUAGGUAAGUUACAUUAAAUAUUAUUUAAGGAAAGAAAAUAAACUUUACCCGGAAAAAGAAUUUAUAUGUACAAUUACGUUAAUAACCAAAAUCGAAACAAAUAAUAUAGAUGC